ensembl:lncRNA
UUUCACCUCUGAAAUUACCUCCCUUGAUAGCAUUUGACUUUUCAAGCACCCAAAUAAGAGGAGAGGAGAACAAAGUCUGGGAGAGGAAAGCCAAGGUGCCUCUAGACCCUGCAUUCUGACUCCAACAUCCCUCUCCCCAUCCUGUCUCCAGGAUAUCACGCUGUGUGGAGGAAAUUCCUUCCUCCUUUGCCUAGAUUUAUGUCUACAGGUAGACACACAAGAGAGAAUGGAGAUUAGUAGAUGUACUAGCAUGUAAAUUCCCUCUCUCCAGAGUGAGAAAUCUGGGUUUCAAAUAUCUCCUUUUAGGUCUUAGGCAUAUCCUCCAUCCUGCCUUACAGACCCUUUCAUCACCCCAUCCGUCCACCAAUAAAUGCCCACCUUUUCCACUUCUCUGCACCCCAGUGACUCUCUUGGCAUCGCUUCAAAUGCCCAUUUUUCUGUUCUACGGGUCGUUUCUGCUCCAGAGACACUGCUUCCUCAGAGCUAAAAAUAAUGGGGAUUAAGUAACGUUUUUUCUGAAGACAGUGGUCAUAGUCGGGUCUGGUUUCGUGCUUGCCUUUAUCGCCACCGUGUGACCGGUUCAGGCCCCACAUUUCCGUGCAGGACCGCUCCUUUGUGUCUGCUAAAGAUCCUCUUCGUUUCUUUUGGUUUGUGUCGCCCCCUACAGACAGACAAGCAAACCAACAGUUAAGGGUCUGUGAACAUUUAGUGCUGGGCAUUAGUUAGGCCACACAGUUCCUACAUUUUACUGAUUCAAGUGCCAAAGGAUGCCCACCUCUCACUCCUGGAUCCUAGCAUAAGCUCUCCCCCAACCCCAUGCACCAUUUAGUAAAAUAAAACGAGCUGAUGCUUAGCCUGAGAAUGCAGGGAAAGCUGACUCUGCUCCUUCAGUUCUCUCCCACCUGAUUCCACUGUGACCCCAGACUUCCCAGGCAAUGCUCACUCUCACACCAACCUGCACAUAGAUAUGUUUCUUCCUUCUUCAUUUGGCUACAAACACAUGUCCCUAAGAUCAACGGGAAGCUGAUGGCCAGACUAAAAAGAACGCCUCCCCACAAUUCUUGAUCACCUGAGAUACACGUCACCAGUGAGCCAUGAUGCCCAAGUUUCCCUCCUAUCAGCAGUGAUGCAAGAGUGUGCCCACCUCUCUCCUUCCCCAUCCCCCAGCAUACCAGACUUUGCCAAUCCUAGAAACCAAAAGAUAAGCAUUUCCAGUUUUUUGAAAUUUGCCUUUCUCUAAUUUCCAAGGAAGGGAUCUAUCUUUUCCUGGAACAACUGUCUCCAUUUAUAUAUCUUUGCCUUCUUCUAGAAUAUAGGGAAACAGCCCAUCUCCUCACUACCCCUUCAUUUAGCUACUAACAUCCAUCAUCUUUCUUAGACCCAGAGCAGAUUUCAUGAAAUGAGGCAUAGAGCGAAUUCAAAUAUUUAUUGCCCCUGCUCAUUUUCCUGGAAAUACCAGCUUUUAAGAAAGAUUUGUACAUGCAUAGGGGAUUUUCUGAAGUGCUAUUUGCCAAAAUGUCACCACUGGUUAUUUCUGAAGCAUAUUUAAUGCACAAUACAUUCAAGGUGCAACGCCAACUAAGAUCAAUGAGAUGAACAGAUCUGUCUCUGGGGACAGACCACUUGGUUUCUCAGACAGACCCCCACAAAGCAGCAUUUACCUUGCUGAGUUCACACACUCCAGGGUCCAAAUCUUAAUUUUGAAUUCACACUAAAAAUUUGCAUGACUGAUGAUGUUAUACACAACACAAAUGCAUAUGUAUGUCCACAAAAAGACAAGAAUAAAAAUGUUCAUAGAGAACUGUUCAUAUUAGCCCCAAACUGGAAACUCCCCAAAUAUCUAUUAACAGUAGAAUGGAUAAGUGAAAUACAGUAUAUUCAUAAAUGGGGUUUAUAUUCAUAAAUGUCAAUGAAUAUUAUAUAUGCAGCAGCAUGGAUUAAUCUCACAGACAAUGCGCUAUAUAUAUUUAUACAUACAUAUAUAUGUAUGUGUAUGUGUAUAUAUAUAUAUAUAUAUACAGAGAGAGACAGAGAAACAAAUAUGCAAAAGAAUAUAUAGGAGUUCCUGUUGUGGUUCAGCGGGUUAAGGACCCAGUAUUGUCUCCACGAGAAUGCAGGUUUGAUCCCUGGACUUGCUCAACAGGUUAAGGAUCUGGCAUUGCCUCAAGCUGUGGCAUAGUUCAUAGAUGUGCCUCAGAUCUGGUGUUUCUGUGCCUGUGGUGUAGGCCGGCAGCUGCAGCUCCGAUUUGACCCCCUAACCUGGGAACUUCCAUAUGCUGCAGGCAUGGCCAUAAAAAGAAAAAAAAAAAGGAAUAUAUACUGUGUGACACCACUUACAUAAAGUUAAAACACACACACAUACACACAAAACUAAUCCAUGGUGUUAGAAGUCUGAAUAGUAGUUAUCUCUGGGAUCCAUCAUUGACUAGAUGAGGGCAUGAGGGAGCUUCCAAUAUCCUGUUCCUGCUUUGUUCCUUACUCAUUUUGUGAAAAUUUGUUGAGCUGAACACUUGGGAUUUCUGCAUUUUUCUGUAUAUAUGUUAUACUUCUACAAAAAAUUUACCAAAGUCCUCAAUAGUGAGUUAGGGAAAUGGGAGGUGAAUAAAUGAAAUCAAUCCUCCUGCUGAUCUAGGGAAGCUGGACAAAACGUAAUUUUUCAUUUCCCCGAAGGCACUAGAGGGCUAACAAGAUGAUGAAGAAUACUUGGUUCAGAAUAGGAAUGGGAGAACUUGAACUUAAUGUUAGGGCCACUUUUCCCAAGGAAAAGUGAGGGGACUGCUGAGAGGCCAUGUAGAAUUUUAUAUAGCUCUGGGAGGGGAGUUCCCAUUGUGGCGCAGUAGAAACGAAUCCAACUGGGAACCAUGAGGUGGUGGGUUCAAUCCCUGGCCUUGCUCAGUGGGUUAAGGAUCCAGCAUUUCCGUGAGCUGUGGUGUAGGUCACAGACGUGGCUCAGAUCUGGCAUUGCUGUGGCUAUGGGGUAGGCUGGCAGCCAUAGCUCCGAUUUGACCCCUAGCCUGGGAACUUCCAUAUGCCGCGGGUGUGGCCCUAAAAGGACAAAAGACAAAAAAAAAAAAAAUAGCUCUGGGAAGUAGGGAUACAGAUAUUGGAAUCUUGCCAAGAAUUAUAGCUGGUAAACCUCAAGGUAUUUGGAUUGUGAUGCUGAAAGAGCUGCACCUCAGAGUCAGAGUGAAGGAGAUCUAGACACUCUCACAAGGGCUUCAGUUUAACUUUGAGUAAUCUCAAUCACUGGAAGUUGGAUUAAGGUAAUUCCAGAGUUUUAAUGCCCCUAGGUGCCUUGCAGGGACAAACACAAAUUCUUUUUGGAGAGAAAUAAUAUCAGCCUCAAAUUAUUUCUGAAGUUUUGUAAAUUACCAUAUCUAUCACAGAAUAGAAAACUACCAAGUACACAAGAAGACAAAAUUCACAAAAACCAUCAGAAAUGGCAGACAAUAGAAAAAGACUCUAUUGGACAUUGGAUUUAUCAUACAUAGAUUUAAAAUAAAUAUGCUUAGUAUGCUUAGUAUGCAAUAUAAAGAAUUUCUGCUGAUAAAUGGAAAUUAUAAAAAAGUAUAAAACAGAAAUUCUAGAACUGAAAAAUAAAAUAAUCUCAAUUAAGAACUGAAUGGAGAGAUUUAACAGAUAAAGAGAACAUUAUUGAACAGGAAGGUAGGUUGGAAGAAACUUCCAUUGAAAAUGCCAGUCAGAAAAAGAUGAAAAAAAUUAAGAGUGGGUAAUAGAGAAUACAGAGAGAAGGUGUUACAUAUGUGUAUUUUAAAUUCAAGAACAGAGGAGAGACUGAAUGAGGCAGAAGUAAUAUCUGAAGAAAUAAUGGUUGGCAGUUUUAUGAAACAUUCCAAAACAUCAAGCUACCUAUUCAAGAAGCCCUUCAAAUUUCAAGCAGGAUAAAAUUUAGGAUUAGAAAAUGUAGAUACACACACACACACAAUGGAAUAUUAGCCAUUAAAAAAGAAUGAAAUAUGCCAUUUGCAGCACAUGGAUGGAUCUGGAGAUGGUCAUACUAAGUUAAUCAGACAGUGAAAGACAAACACCAUAUGAUAUUACUUAUGCAUACGUAUAAUGUUUAGCAUUCAAGCAAAAGCAUACCAAGAGAUAUGACAGAAGUUUUUUAAGGAGAAAAAGAAACCAAGAAGAAAUAGACAAUAGAAAUGAACCUAUAGAAGAUUAAGCUAUUAGAGCAUCAAGCACAGGCUAUUAGGAGUUCCUGUCAUAGCUCAGUGGUUAACGAACCCAACUAGUGUCCAUGAGGUUGUAGGUUAGAUCCCUGGCCUUGCUCAGUGGGUUAAGGAUCUGGUGUUGCCAUGAGCUGUGGUGUAGUUCGCAGACACGGCUCAAAUCUGGUGUUGCUGUGGCUUUGGUUUAGGCCAGCAGCUAUAGCUCCAGUUUGACCCCUAGCCUAGGAACCUUCAUAUGCCGUGGGUGAGGCCUUAAAAAGAAAAGAAGAAGAAGCAUCAAGCAUGGGCUUUUAAAUAAUUGUGAUUAAUAUAUUCAAGAAAACAGAGGGCAAGAUAGACAUUUUCACUCAAGAACUGAAAAGUGAGGGGAAAAGAAUUAAGUGGAAAUUUUCUAAAAACUAAAAAAUUGCUAUAGUGACUUUCAGUUUCAGCACCAAGAUAUAAAGACCUUGAAAAUCUUUGUUAGUCUUCUCACAAUAAGAAAAAUGUUGACCAAAUAGAAAAUCAACUUUUCUAAGAUCUGUCAGAGAAUUGAGGUCACAGGGCAAACCACGACUCCCAAAGUCUGGAGGUACAGGAAGAAUUAUAGCUAUGAUUAGCUUACUUGAAGCGGAAAACUCAGGAGCCAGUUACUGGUCAGAAUGCUUAGUUAUUUUGAAUUGCUAGAGGCUGAGUUUGGACUGGCUUAGGAGUUGAAAAAUCUAUGGGCAAGGGCACUUUUGGGGGGAUCAUCACAUUUUCAUUGUUUUUACCUGAAGGAACCAACAGGUUCUCAUGAUAAAGAUUGGUGAAAAUUUCUCUCAUGCUCCUGUCAGGGGGAAGGGAAACUAACCAUUCUGAAUUAUGCCCAGGGGGAAAAUAGUCAUUUUGAAAUACAUCCAGAGUGUUCUCCACAACAAAGUCUAUCCUGAAAGGGAAACUACUUUAAGGGCCUUAUCUGACCUGAGGGAAAAACACUGGCUGGCUCCAGCUCCAUCUAGACUUCCUGUCUCAUGUAAAGGGAGAAAAAAAGCACCAUUAAUCAACUGGAUCUAAUUAACAUUUGUCAAAUAUUUAAUCCAACAACACCAAAAAGUACACAUACUUCUUAGGCUCAUAUAAAAUAUUAACCAAGAUAGACUACAUUUAAGUCAUAAAACACAUAUUAACAGGUUUAAAAGAGUAGAAAGCAUACAAAGUAUUCUCUCAGAUCACAUGGAAUUAAACUAGAAAUCAAUAACAGAAAGCUGCAAAAUCUCUCAAUAUUGGAGAUUAAACAACACACUCCUAAAUAAAACAUGGGUCAAAGACAAAGUCUCAAAAGAAAUUUUUUAAUACUUUGAAAUAAAUGAAAAUGAAAAUACAUCUUAUCAAAAAUUAUGGGAUCUAGUGAAAAGUGCCUAGAGAAAAUUUAUGGGAUAUAAUGCACAUACAAAUUUCCCCUGCUUUUUAAAAAGACAUUGAAGAUUCUACUUAUUUUUUUGGCUAUACCGUGGCAUGUGGAAUUUCCAGGGCCUGAGCUCCAACCCGAGCCAAAGCAGUGACAACACCAAAUCAUUAAACAUUAUACAGGGAAUUUCAUAAGGUAUUUUUUUCCCAUGGCAUGUGGAAAUUCCCAGGCUAGGGAUCAAACCUGUGCCAAAGCAGGGACAAUGCCAGAUCCAUAACCUGUUGAGCCGCCAUGGAACUCCGAUUUUUUUUUUCUCCUGCCUUUUGAAAGUUUGCUUUAUGCUCCUUCUUUUUUUACAAAUCACCUACAUUUAGUACCUGUUUUCACUAACUGAAAGAAAUCCAAAGAUAAUUUUUGCUAUUAUGAAAAAAGGUUAAAAGAGAAAAUAGCUUUCAGCAUGUUUUGCAGCACGCUGAGCUAUUACGGAGGCAGUGUGUACUGUGAGCAGCAAGAGUAGCACUACCAAGCUCCUUCCCUGUGAACUACACUCAGCAUCAAGCCACCAUAGCCUUGAACUGUGUCUGUAGGCCUCUGUGCUUUAUCUCCACUUAUUUUGUGCAUCCAUUAACAACAUCUGUUCUAAGGUAACUGUUUCUUCACUUUAAGCCAUUUUGGCUUGUGAAAGUUUUCACAGGAACACUCUACUUUUGGGCAGCAAGAGAAAUCUUUAUUAGAAAACAAAAAGGAGGGAAGAUGUGGCCAAGAGAGUGGAGUAGGAGGCCUCUGAACUCACCACCUCCCACAGGUGCAUCAAAAUUACAACUAUUUACAAAGCAACUAUCAAGGAGAACAACCCGAACUCUAGUAGAAAACAUUUUCCACUACUGAAGAUAUAAAGAAAGAACAACCAUGAGAUGGGUAGGAGGUGCAAGUGCACAGUAUAGCCAAGACCCACACCCUUGCAUAGGUGACCCACAAAUGGGAGCAUAAACACAAUCACAGAGGUUCUCCAUAUGGUACAAGGGAUAUGAGCCCCAUAUUGGGCUCCCCACCUGAGGGUCUUGGCACUAAGAAGACAAGCAUCCAGAAUGUCUGACUUGGAAGGCAAGUGGGGUUUGCAAACAGAAGACCCUGAGGGCCAAUGAAACAAUGAUUCUGCUCUUAAACCUCAUGGCAGCUAUUUUGGGGAGCUAUGAGGACACUGGUACUAAUAAGCACCAUCUUUGAGUCCUCUCUGUAGUCUUUUAAUGCCAUGGGCUUGCCCACCCACCAGCAGGCAGGCAUCAGUCCUGGGACACCACAGGGACCCAGCCCUACCCACCAGUUAGCUGGCAUCAGCCCCCAAACCCCUCUGGCCAUGCAUCCAGCUGUACCAGGACCUAGCCCCACCUAUCAAUAGGCUGGCAGCCACCACAAGAGGCUGGGCGUGGAAGCCAACCAUGCCAAGGGCUGGCCCAAUCUAUCACAUGCCCACAAUAGUCAACCCUAUAACAACAGAAGGGCUCAUAUAUCCCACAAACAGGGUACCUCUAGAGCAUAAAACUCUGGUGACCAGAAGGAAGGGCACUGCUGAGCCCUAUAGGACAUCUCCUACAUAAGGCCACUUUUCCAAGACUGGAAAACAUAACUACCUACUGAAUACAUAGAAAUAGAGAGUUAGACAAAAUGUGGUGACAGAGGAAUAUGUUCCAAAUGAAGGAAUAAGACAAAACCCCAGAAGAAAAACUAAGUGAAGAUAAGUAAUCUAUUUGAUACAGCAUUCGAAGUAAUGAUCAUAAAGAUACUCACUGAACUUGGGAAAAUAGAUUAAUACAGUGAGAAUUUCAACAAAGGGGUAGAAAAUAUAAAGAAGAAUCAGAGCUAAAAAAUAUAGUAACUGAAAUAAGGGAGUUCCCAUUGUGACACAGUGGAAAUGAAUCUGACUAGGAACCAUGAGGUUGUGGGUUCAAUCCCUGGCCUCGCUCAGUGGGUUAAGGAUCCGGCAUUGCCGUUAGCUGGGGUGUAGGUCACAGACUCAGCUCAGAUCCCACGUUGCUGUGGCUCUGGCGUAGGUCGGUGGCUACAGCUCCAAUUCGACCCCUAGCCUGGGAACUUCCAUAUGCCACGGGUGCAGUCCUAGAAAAGGCAAAAAGACCAAAAAAAAAAAAAAAAAAAAAAAAA